UCCCUGGUGGUCCAGUGGUUAAGACUCUGCACUUCCACUGCAGGGGGCACAGGUUCAAUCCCUGCUUGGGGAG